AGAACUAUCACUUGAGCAGGGCGUUCAUGCUUCUGCGGAGUGACGACUUUGAUUUCC
rnacentral:rRNA from 1 species